rnacentral:rRNA from 1 species
GUCCACGCCCUAAACUAUGGAUACUCGACAUUUGCGAUAAACUGCAAGUGUCUGAGCGAAAGCAUUAAGUAUCCCACCUGGGAAGUACGAUCGCAAGAUUGAAACUCAAAGGAAUUGGCGGGGGUACGCACAAGCGGUGGAGCAUGUGGUUUAAUUAGAUGAUACGCGAGGAACCUUACCUGGGCUAGAAUGUCAGUGGACCGUGGGUGAAAGCUCACUUUGUAGCAAUACACCGCUGAUAAGGUGCUGCAUGGCUGUCGU